AUUGAACGCUGGCGGCAGGCCUAACACAUGCAAGUCGAGCGGAUGAAGGGAGCUUGCUCCUGGAUUCAGCGGCGGACGGGUGAGUAAUGCCUAGGAAUCUGCCUGGUAGUGGGGGAUAACGUCCGGAAACGGGCGCUAAUACCGCAUACGUCCUGAGGGAGAAAGUGGGGGAUCUUCGGACCUCACGCUAUCAGAUGAGCCUAGGUCGGAUUAGCUAGUUGGUGGGGUAAAGGCCUACCAAGGCGACGAUCCGUAACUGGUCUGAGAGGAUGAUCAGUCACACGGGAACUGGGACACGGUCCAGACUCCUACGGGAGGAGGCAGUGGGGAAUAUUGGACAAUGGGCGAAAGCCUGAUCCAGCCAUGCCGCGUGUGUGAAGAAGGUCUUCGGAUUGUAAAGCACUUUAAGUUGGGAGGAAGGGCAGUAAGUUAAUACCUUGCUGUUUUGACGUUACCAACAGAAUAAGCACCGGCUAACUUCGUG
rnacentral:rRNA from 1 species